rnacentral:tRNA from 1 species
UUCCAUUGUCGUCUAGAGGUUAGGAUACUUGGCUUUCACCCAGGCGACCCGGGUUCAAGUCCCAGCAAUGGAAAC